GGUUUAAUUNGAAGCAACGCGAAGAACCUUACCAGGUCUUGACAUCCUNUGACAACCCUAGAGAUAGGNNUUCCCCUUCGGGGGCAGAGUGACAGGUGGUGCAUGGUUGUCGUCAGCUCGUGUCGUGAGAUGUUGGGUUAAGUCCCGCAACGAGCGCAACCCUUGAUCUUAGUUGCCAGCAUUNAGUUGGGCACUCUAAGGUGACUGCCGGUGACAAACCGGAGGAAGGUGGGGAUGACGUCAAAUCAUCAUGCCCCUUAUGACCUGGGCUACACACGUGCUACAAUGGACAGAACAAAGGGCAGCGAGACCGCGAGGUUAAGCCAAUCCCACAAAUCUGUUCUCAGUUCGGAUCGCAGUCUGCAACUCGACUGCGUGAAGCUGGAAUCGCUAGUAAUCGCGGAUCAGCAUGCCGCGGUGAAUACGUUCCCGGGCCUUGUACACACCGCCCGUCACACCACGAGAGUUUGUAACACCCGAAGUCGGUGAGGUAACCUUUAUGGAGCCAGCCGCCGAAGGUGGGACAGAUGAUUGGGGUGAAGUCGAANCAAGGAGCCGAUCG
rnacentral:rRNA from 1 species